rnacentral:rRNA from 1 species
GCAUAGGAGCUUGCUCCUGAUGGCGAGUGGCGAACGGGUGAGUAAUAUAUCGGAACGUGCCCUAGAGUGGGGGAUAACUAGUCGAAAGACUAGCUAAUACCGCAUACGAUCUACGGAUGAAAGUGGGGGAUCGCAAGACCUCAUGCUCCUGGAGCGGCCGAUAUCUGAUUAGCUAGUUGGUGGGGUAAAAGCUCACCAAGGCGACGAUCAGUAGCUGGUCUGAGAGGACGACCAGCCACACUGGGACUGAGACACGGCCCAGACUCCUACGGGAGGCAGCAGUGGGGAAUUUUGGACAAUGGGGGCAACCCUGAUCCAGCAAUGCCGCGUGAGUGAAGAAGGCCUUCGGGUUGUAAAGCUCUUUUGUCAGGGAAGAAACGGUUCUGGAUAAUACCUGGAGCUAAUGACGGUACCUGAAGAAUAAGCACCGGCUAACUACGUGCCAGCAGCCGCGGUAAUACGUAGGGUGCAAGCGUUAAUCGGAAUUACUGGGCGUAAAGCGUGCGCAGGCGGUUGUGUAAGUCAGAUGUGAAAUCCCCGGGCUCAACCUGGGAAUUGCAUUUGAGACUGC